rnacentral:lncRNA from 1 species
AGGGCUGCACCCUCGACAUAGGGAGGUUCCCAGGUCUAAUUGGAGCUACAGCUGCCAGCCUACGCCACAGCCACAGCGACGCAGAUCCCAGCUAAUUAUUUUUUAUUAUUAUUAUUAUUAUUUUUUUUUUUGUCUUUUUGUCUUUUGUUGUUGUUGUUGUUGCUAUUUCUUGGGCCGCUCCCACGGCAUAUGGAGGUUCCCAGGCCAGGGGUUGAAUCGGAGCUGUAGCCACCGGCCUACGCCAGAGCCACAGCAACGCGGGAUCCGAGCCGCGUCUGCAACCUACAUCACAGCUCACGGCAACGCCGGAUGGUUAACCCACUGAGCAAGGGCAGGGACCGAACCCGCAACCUCAUGGUUCCUAGUCGGAUUCGUUAACCACUACGCCACGACGGGAACUCCCCCAGCUAAUUAUUUGACCUACACCACAGCUCACUGCAAUACUAGAUCCUUAACCCAGUGAAUGAGGCCAGGGAUCAAACAUACAUCCUCAUGGAAACUAUUCGGGUUCGUUAACCACUGAGCCAUGAAGGGAAGUCCUAUGAUCCCAUUUUUUGAGGAUCCCUCAACUAGUGGGUUAGAUGGACAUCAACAAAAAUAAUCACAUCACUGGAGUUCUCUUGUUGCACCAUGGGUUAAGGAUCCAGCACUGUCACUGCAAUGGCUUGGGUUGCAGUUGUUGCUGCCCUGGCCCAGGAACUUCUGCAUGCCCUAGAAUUAGCAGAACACAAGAACAUUGUGUUUUAAACCAGGUGGUUUAGCAUCACAGGAUGUUACGAUGUAGGAGGAGCACUGUAGUCAUUUGCCUUGCUCAGAUGCAUGCUUUGCCACUUGCUAACUUGGGGAAGUUCCUCAACUCCUCCAACUUCAGUUUCCCUCACAAAUAAGAGUACGUACUUUACAGAGGUAUUGGCAUGGGAUAUUGGAUGAAACAAUGUAUACAUCUUAUCACAUUGUCUAGCUCAAAGCUAAUAGUAUAUCAUGAUAUGGUUCUGGACUUUGGUUCAAAUCCUGGUUCUGCUACUUGUUGGGUGAUCGUAAUCCCUCAAUCUCCCCCUUUCUUCCUCUCUUGGAUAGGUAGGGCUGAGUGAGCUAAGCCUGGUUAGGUCAUUUGUCUAUAGUGGUAGACUUUAUUCAAUAAAACUUACUGGAUACUGUAUAUCUAGUUUCCCACAAGCUCAUUGUACUCCUUAAGACUAAGCUAUUUACAAAUACUAAUUCUCACUACAACUUCAAGUACUUUUAUAGUCCUCAUUCUAUGCAUGAGGGAACUGAGGCAGAGAAGUUAAGUGGCUUGCCCAAGGUCACAGGGACUGCUCAAGUGGUAUGUGGAUAUUAACCCAGCAGUCUCAAGCCUAGAACUGAUAGGCCUACAUGCAGAAAGAAGACUAAAGUAUACAAGCAGGUGUGUUGCAACCUUAAGAUUAGCACAGAGGGACCUAGAAUACUUGCUGACAGCUCUGCUUCAGCUGCACGAGGACAUCAGGGAAAUGGGUAUUACUUUCCACCUAGGACCCAGCCCUACUGAGAACAUGUACUAAAGACACUAGACCUUUUACUGAGCAUCUACCCUCCAAAGACUGUUUCUCAUGGAUAUCAAGAUAUGACAGGAGUUCCCAAUUCCCCUUGUGGUGCAGUAGAAAGGAAUCCAGGUAGAACCAUGAGGUUGCAUGUCCCACCCCUGGCCUCGCCAGCAGCUGUAGCUCUGGUAUGACCCCUAGCCUGGGAACUGCCAUAUGCCAAAGGUGUACACCUAAAAAGCGGGAAAGCGGCUGGGGGGGCUGGGGAAGGACCACUGAACUUGUCAUUUACCCACCACAGCAAUGCCAGAUCUCCCGUUGUUUAAAGACUUGUAGCUAUGCUUAGUCAAAACCCAACAAACCCUCCCAAGUUCUCCUAAUAAUGAUCAUAAAUGCUAGCACCUUGUCUCACCUAUUUUAGUGCUGCACCCAUAGCAUAUGGAGGUUCCCAGGCUGGGGGUCGAACUCCCUAUUCUGUGCUUUUUGGCCUUGAUUAACUACAGCACACUUAGGCAUCCCAUGUUUGACACACUAUACACCACACUACCCCCACACCAUCCCUGCUCAGAGGUUUCUAAACGAGCUGAGUCUACCUCCCACCUUUAAAUUCACUAUGUCCUUUCCAAGCUAAACUCUUACCUUCUAGAUGAUUCCCAUCCUCCAGGGUCUUAUCACUUCCCUGUAAUGCUAGCAGCCUAUCCAAGGGCUUGACAAAUUCUAUUGUGACACAAGCAUGACACAAGCACACACCUUGGACAGUUUAACUGGCUCAACAUCUGUGAUUUUAUCAUUUUAAGUCAAUCUUAGUUGAUACUGGUCUGACUGGCAGAACUCUCACCCAUGUCUAGCAGGUGACCAAGGCAUUACAGACAGGUCCCUCAAACACACUGAAUUUGUUAUCCAACCAAAAUCAUGCAAGCCCUGGAGUUCCUGUUGUGGCAGAGGAAAUGAAUACAACUAGGAACCAUGAGGUUGCAGGUUCGAUCCCUGGCCUGGCUCAGUAGGUUAAAGACCCAGCAUUACCAUGAGCUGUGGUCUCGCGAUGUAGCUCAGAUCCGACUCCUUCUAGCCUGGGAACCUCCAUAUGCUGUGAAUGCAGCCCUAAAAAGCAAAAAGGCCCUGAACUUGACUGUUUCCUUCCUAUCAGGAACCAACAUGUUUUUCCCAAAGUAGUAUUAAAUUAAAGGUAGUAACUUGGCACUUAGUGCAGAACCUCCACAGGUUACCUGAAAGCUGAGUUUAGUGGCUCAAGCAUUCUGGCCAGGAACUCCACGGGUGGUGUUUAAAAAAAAAAAAAAAAAAAAAAAGGCAGUCCAACUCAUAUAAAACUCUUAGCUGCUAACCACUCACUUGUAAAAAAGGAACAACACAAAUAUGUAUAUAGUCAUUUUUAUUAUAAUUCAUGAGCACAGUAGAAACUGUCAUGCAUCUCUUUAUUAAAAUAUAUAGGUCCUCAUACUUCCACUUGUCAGAAAACCCACUGUUGACUGGUUUUCACAUCGUAGAAAACCUGAGAGGAUCUCUAGGGCCACCCCCCACACCUGUCACAUAUAAUUCCUUCUAAUUUCAAUGGGCAUCUGGGCAACAUACUAUUCCUCUGCUGCUUUUUAAGAUAGUUCCAGGAUUAAAUAUUCUGUGUAAUCUUAACAUUUUCAAACUGCAGGUUUAUCUCCCCGAACUGCAGGGUACUCACUUUACCACAUCUCCCUGCAAGUAAGGGACCUCAAAGCAUUAAAUAUUAAUUUCAAAGUUAGGUGAGGUUCAUCUUCUCUCCUAAAUGAAAGGACAAAAAAAAAAAAGUAAUUAGAUUCACACAUAAAAUCUUAACUCAAUUUUCAAUUUUUGUAUACUAGAUGUUUCCUGCAUGGUUUGUCUCCUCAGUCAUUGUCCACAGGACUCUGAGAAGCUGUAGGAAUAUGCAGGCGCAGACUCAAGGCCCAGCUUCAUCUCCAACGUUGUGGAAAGGGACUGUACAUCAUGGGGCAGAGCCCUAUGCUCCUCUACACCACCAGGACAGAGCCCGGGGAGAGUGACCUCCCGGGGUAUCCACGUUGGAAUAUCUGAGUAAACACCAUCACCCCUGUUUUCAAGAUUUUCCCCCUCCCACACAUAGAUUUGAGAGAAGUUAAAUGAAGUCCAUUACGAUCAGUAAGUGUUGUCUACUUAAAGAGAGGUCUGGGCUCACUGAAUCAUUCCUUUGACAUGUACCUCAGCCAUUGGGGCCAGCAUCCUGAGUUUUCACAGCCUACAGGAUGACCUGGAGAUGGCUGCAUUUGCAGAUGACCAAAAUACUGCCUCAAAGAGGCAGGGGAAAGCAAUAUCAAUGUAUAUGACUAAAGGUGAGGGAGAGAUGCAUG